GACGAACGCUGGCGGCGUGCUUAACACAUGCAAGUCGAGCGAUGAAGCUUCUUCGGAAGUGGAUUAGCGGCGGACGGGUGAGUAACACGUGGGUAACCUGCCUCAUAGAGGGGAAUAGCCUUCCGAAAGGAAGAUUAAUACCGCAUAAGAUUGUAGUACCGCAUGGUACAGCAAUUAAAAGAGCAAUCCGCAAUGGGAUAGACCCGCGUCGCAUUAGCUAGUUGGUGAGGUAACGGAUCACCAAGGCGACGAUGCGUAGCCGACCUGAGAGGGUGAUCGGCCACAUUGGGACUGAGACACGGCCCAGACUCCUACGGGAGGCAGCAGUGGGGAAUAUUGCACAAUGGGGGAAACCCUGAUGCAGCAACGCCGCGUGAGUGAUGACGGUCUUCGGAUUGUAAAACUCUGUCUUCAGGGACGAUAAUGACGGUACCUGAGGAGGAAGCCACGGCUAACUACGUGCCAGCAGCCGCCGUAA
rnacentral:rRNA from 1 species